GUCUACAGCCAUGCUACCCUGAAUGUUCCUGAUCUCUGAAGCUAAACGGGGCCAGGCUGGCUAGUACUUGGAUGGAAGGACCUGAGUGAGAAUGGAAGCCAGUGAGGGCA
ensembl:rRNA 5S_rRNA 5S ribosomal RNA